rnacentral:rRNA from 1 species
AGAGAACGCUGGCGGUAGGCCUAACACAUGCAAGUCGAACGGCAGCACAGUAAGAGCUUGCUCUUACGGGUGGCGAGUGGCGGACGGGGGAGGAAUACAUCGGAAUCUACUUUUUCGUGGGGGAUAAAGUAGGGAAACUUACGCUAAUACCGCAUACGACCUACGGGUGAAAGCAGGGGAUCUUCGGACCUUGCGCGAUUGAAUGAGCCGAUGUCGGAUUAGCUAGUUGGCAGGGUAAAGGCCCACCAAGGCGACGAUCCGUAGCUGGUCUGAGAGGAUGAUCAGCCACACUGGAACUGAGACACGGUCCAGACUCCUACGGGAGGCAGCAGUUGCGAAUCUUGGACAACGGGCGCAAUCCUGAUUCAGCCAGACCGCGUGGGUGAAGAAGGCCUUCGGGUAGUGCAACCCUUUUGUUGGGAAAGAACAGCAGCAGGUUGAUAAACCGAUGUUCUGACGGUACCCGAAGAAUAAGCACCUGCUAACUACGUG